rnacentral:rRNA from 1 species
GCUUCCCCGGGCGUCGACCGGCGCACGGGUGAGUAACGCGUAUCCAACCUGCCUCUGACUGAGGGAUAACCCGUCGAAAGUCGGCCUAAUACCUCAUGGCAUCGUCUGCGGGCAUCCAACGACGAUUAAAGAUUUCAUCGGUCAGGGAUGGGGAUGCGUCUGAUUAGCUAGUUGGCGGGGUAACGGCCCACCAAGGCUACGAUCAGUAGGGGUUCUGAGAGGAAGGUCCCCCACAUUGGAACUGAGACACGGUCCAAACUCCUACGGGAGGCAGCAGUGAGGAAUAUUGGUCAAUGGGCGAGAGCCUGAACCAGCCAAGUAGCGUGCAGGAAGACGGCCCUAUGGGUUGUAAACUGCUUUUAUGCGGGGAUAAAGUGAGGGACGUGUCCUUCAUUGCAGGUACCGCAUGGAUAAGGACCGGCUAAUUCCGUGCCAGCAGCCGCGGUAAUACGGAAGGUCCGGGCGUUAUCCGGAUUUAUUGGGUUUAAAGGGAGCGUAGGCCGUGGAUUAAGCGUGUUGUGAAAUGCAGGUGCUCAACGUCUGCACUGCAGCGCGAACUGGUCCACUAGAGUGUGCACAACGCAGGCGGAAUUCGUCGUGUAGCGGUGAAAUGCUUAGAUAUGACGAAGAACUCCGAUUGCGAAGGCAGCUUGCGGGAGCACAACUGAC